rnacentral:rRNA from 1 species
UACGUAGGGUGCGAGCGUUAAUCGGAAUUACUGGGCGUAAAGCGUGCGCAGGCGGUUUUGUAAGCCAGAUGUGAAAUCCCCGGGCUCAACCUGGGAAUGGCAUUUGGGACUGCAAGGCUGGAGUUUGGCAGAGGAGAAUGGAAUUCCUGGUGUAGCGGUGAAAUGCGCAGAUAUCAGGAAGAACACCCGUGGCGAAGGCGGUUCUCUGGGACGGUACUGACGCUGAGACGCGAAAGCGUGGGGAGCGAACAGG